rnacentral:lncRNA from 1 species
CCCAGGAAAAGGUGCUCAACGCAAAACGGGCACGCAGUCACAAACGUAUCGAGCACCUGCUGGGUGUGGUUGUGCAAGGGGAUAUUUUGGGCAGAAACAGGAAGACCCAACAGAUAGGCUGUGUGUGUGUGUGUGUGUGUAUGUGUGUGUGUGUGUGUAUGGUGUUUCCAGCACUGUGUUGUGAGAUGCGUCUGGGCCUGUGGAUGUGCUAUUAUAUUAGUUUCCUAUUGCUGCUGUUAACAAAUUACUAAAAAUGUGGUGGCUUAAAACAGCACACAUUUAUUAUCUUGCAGUUUUGGAGGGCAGAAAUCCAAAAUGGGUUUCACAGAACUGAAAUCAAACUGUCAGCAGGAUUGCAUCGCUUCUGGAGGCUCUCGGGGAGAAUGUUUUUCUUGCCUUUUCCAGCUUCUAGAGGCCACACUCGUUCUUUGACAGGUGGCCCCAUCACCCCAAGCUCUGCUUCCAUCUUCCCGUCUCCAUCACUGACUGCUCCUCCUGCCUCCUUCUCACAAAUACUCUUGUGAUUCCAUCGAGCUCACCCAAAUAACUGGGAUAAUCUCCCUAUCUCAGUCACAUGGGCAAAGUCCCUUCAGCCAUGCAAGGUAACCUAUGCACAGAUUCUGGGAAUUAGGAUGCGGACAUCUAUGUACACGUCUAUCAGUUUAUAAUACAUGGCCGAGGGCAGUGGCUCAGGUCUAUAAUCUCAAUACUUUGGGAGGCCAAGGUGGGAGGAUCACUUGAACCCAAGAGUUCAAGACCAGCCUGGGCAACAUAGUGUGACCGCAUCCCUACAAAAAAAUACAAGAAUUAGCCAUGUGUGAUGGCAUCUGCCUAUAGUCACAGCUAUGCAGGAGGCUGAGGCAGGAGGAUCACUUGAGCCCGGGAGGACGAGGCUGCAGGGACCUAUGAUUGCCCCACUGCACCCCAGCCUGGGCAACAGGGGGAAGACCCUGUCUCAAAAAAACAAAACAAAACAAAAUAAAAAGAGGGUAAUCAUAUAAUUUUUCAUCUACAGCAAGACACUUGAGAGCAAAAAGGGACCCAUUAAUGCCUCCAGAACCAGGAGGCAGAUCCCUCCUGUUAAUAGUUACAGAGCCAGGCCAGGUGUGGUAGCUCACACCUGUAAUCCCAGCACUUUGGGAGGCUGAGGUGGGCAGAUCACUAGGUCAGGAGUUCGAGACCAGCCUGACCAACAUGAUGAAAUCCCAUCUCUACUAAAAAUACAAAAAUUAGCCUGGCACGGUGGCAGGUGCCUGUAAUCCCAGCUACUCAGGAGGCUGAGGCAGGAGAACUGCUUGAACCUGGGAUGUAGAGGUCGUAGUGAGCUGAGAUUGCGCCAUUGCACUCCAGCCUGGGUGACAGAGCAAGAUUCCAUCUCAAAAAAAAAAAAAAAAAAAGUUACAGAACCAGCCUGGCCAAUAGGGUGAAACCCCAUCUCUACCAAAAAUACAAAAAAAAA